rnacentral:rRNA from 1 species
GGUUAAAAUAAGUAAGGGCACAUAGGGAAUGCCUAGGUAAUAAGAGCCGAUGAAGGACGUGGUAAGCUGCGAUAAGCUCGGGUUAGUUGCAAUCGAACAUUGACCCCGAGAUUUCCGAAUGGAGCAAUCCGCUAAGUUGAAGACUUAGCACGAAAGAGGGAACCGCGUGAACUGAAACAUCUAAGUAACGCGAGGAAAAGAAAGUAAAAAACGAUUCCCCAAGUAGCGGCGAGCGAACGGGGAUGAGCCUAAACCGCAUAAAUGUCAAGGAUGCAGCCGUUGUUUAUGCGGGGUUGUGGGAAAAACUAUGAGGAACUGCAACGUACUCAACAUUGUUAAUGACCGAACUGGAACUAGUUGGAAAGCUAGAUCGUAGAAGGUGAUAAUCCUGUACAGGUAAACUCAUUAACAUGUCCGUUUUCUCCCAAGUAACAUGGAGCACGAGGAAUUCUGUGUGAAUCAGCGAGGACCAGAUCUCGUAAGGCUAAAUACUCUUAUUAACCGAUAGCGAAUAGUACCGUGAGGGAAAGGUGAAAAGAACCCCGGGAGGGGAGUGAAAUAGAACCUGAAACUAUGUGCUUACAAGCGGUCAGAGCCCGCAAGGGUGAUGGCGUGCCUUUUGGAGAAUGAUCCUGCGAGUUACGUUCAGUGGCGAGGUUAAGUAUAACGGAGCCGAAGGGAAACCGAGUCUGAAUAGGGCGACAUAGUCGCUGGGCGUAGACGCGAAACCUGGUGAUCUAAUCCUGUCCAGGGUGAAACUGUGGUAAGACACAGUGGAGGCCCGAACUCACCGCCGUUGAAAAGUUGGGAGAUGAGAUAGGUUUAGGGGUGAAAAGCCAAUCGAACUAGGAGAUAGCUCGUUCUCUCCGAAAUGCAUUUAGGUGCAGCCUUGAGUGUUUAAUUGUGGGGGUAGAGCACUGAAUGGACUAGGGGGCGUAUAGCUUACUGAAUCCAAUCAAACUCCGAAUACCAUAAUUCUAUAACUCAGGAGUGAGACCACGGGAGUUAACUUCCGUCGUCAAAAGGGAAACAACCCAGACCACCAGCUAAGGUCCCUAAUUAUAACUAAGUGGGAAAGGAGGUGGAGAUUCAUAAACAACCAGGAGGUUGGCUUAGAAGCAGCCAUACCUUUAAAGAGUGCGUAAUAGCUCACUGGUCGAGAGUCUCUGCGCCGACAAUGUAACGGGGCUAAGUUAUAAACCGAAGCUGUGGAAUUGCGCAAGCAAUUGGUAGGAGAGCGUUCUGUAGGCCGUUGAAGGAGAAGCGUAAGCAACUCUGGAGGUAUCAGAAGUGAGAAUGCAGGAAUAAGUAGCGAGAAGGGAGGCGAGAAUCCUCCCCGCCGGAAGACCAAGGUUUUCAGGGUAAAGCUUGUCUUCCCUGAGUAAGCCGGGACCUAAGCCGAGGCUAUAAUGCGUAGGCGAAUGGAAAACAGAUUAAUAUUUCUGUGCCAGUCAUAUAUUGUGAUGGAGGGACGCAGAAGGGUAUGUACGCGGAAGAACGGUAGUUUCCGUAAAAGCAUGUAGAAUGAUCUGAUAGGAAAAUCCGUCAGAUUAGAUUUGAGGUGUGAUAUAUAGUCGUAAGAUGAAUGUACAAAUCCCACGCUGCCGAGAAAAGCUUCUAACGUUAAGAUAUGACUGCCCGUACCCGAAACCGACACAGGUGGUCAGAAUGAGAAAUUUAAGGCGGACAGGCUAACUCUCGUUAAGGAACUCUGCAAAAUGGCCCCGUAACUUCGGGAGAAGGGGUGCCCUCAGGUGUUAGUAUUCACGCAAUACAAAGCGCUCGAGGGUCGCAGUGAAGAGGCUCAAGCAACUGUUUAACAAAAACACAGGUCUAUGCUAAGCUGUAAGGCGAUGUAUAUGGGCUGACACCUGCCCAGUGCCGGAAGGUUAAGAGGAGGAGUGAGAGCUCCGAAUUGAAGCCCCGGUGAACGGCGGCCGUAACUAUAACGGUCCUAAGGUAGCGAAAUUCCUUGUCGGGUAAGUUCCGACCUGCACGAAUGGUGUAAUGAUUUGAGCGCUGUCUUGACGGGAGGCCUGGUGAAAUUGUAUUACCGGUGAAGAUACCGGUUACCUACAGUAGGACGGAAAGACCCCAUGGAGCUUUACUGUAGCUUGGUAUUGGGUUUUGAUAUUGCAUGUAUAGGAUAGUUGGGAAACUAUGAAAGCAUGGCGCUAGCUGUGCUGGAGUUGUCGGUGGAAUACCAACCAUUCAAUGUUGAAAUUCUAAUCUGUGGUUUGUAGCCACGGAGACAGUGCUAGGUGGGCAGUUUGACUGGGGCGGUCGCCUCCGAAAGAGUAACGGAGGCGUUCAAAGGUUCUCUCAGGUUGGAUGGAAAUCAACCAUAGAGUGCAAUGGCAUAAGAGAGCUUAACUGCAAGACUGACGGGUCGAGCAGAUGCGAAAGCAGGACAUAGUGAUCCGGCGAUUCCGAAUGGAAGGAUCGUCGCUCAACGGAUAAAAGCUACCCUGGGGAUAACAGGCUGAUCCUACCCGAGAGUCCAUAUCGACGGUAGGGUUUGGCACCUCGAUGUCGGCUCAUCGCAUCCUGGGGCUGGAGAAGGUCCCAAGGGUUGGGCUGUUCGCCCAUUAAAGCGGUACGUGAGCUGGGUUCAGAACGUCGUGAGACAGUUCGGUCCCUAUCCACUGUAGGCGUUAGAAUAUUGAGAAGACCUGUCCUUAGUACGAGAGGACCGGGAUGGACAAACCUCUGAUGUACCAGUUGUCACGCCAGUGGCACAGCUGGGUAGUCACGUUUGGAAUAGAUAACCGCUGAAAGCAUCUAAGCGGGAAACUAACUUCAAGAUAAGUAUUCUUUAAGAUACCUUCGAGCCUAGGAGGUUGAUAGGUUGGAGAUGUAAGAGCUGCGAGGCUUUAAGUUGACCAAUACUAAUAUAUCGAAGUUUUAACCUAAGAAUUUACUAUAUAGUUUC